rnacentral:tRNA from 1 species
GUGGCUAUGGUGUAAUGGCAGCACGGGAGACUGUGGCUCUCCUAGAGCGGGUUCAAAUCCCGUUAGCCACCCCA